rnacentral:rRNA from 1 species
UGGGGAAUAUUGGACAAUGGGCGCAAGCCUGAUCCAGCCAUGCCGCGUGAGUGAAGAAGGCCCUAGGGUUGUAAAGCUCUUUCACCCGCGAAGAUGAUGACGGUAGCGGGAGAAGAAGCCCCGGCUAACUCCGUGCCAGCAGCCGCGGUAAUACGGAGGGGGCAAGCGUUGUUCGGAAUUACUGGGCGUAAAGGGCGCGUAGGCGGUCUGUUGCGUCAGGUGUGAAAGCCCCGGGCUCAACCUGGGAGGUGCACUUGAUACGGGCAGGCUAGAAUCCGGGAGAGGAUGGUGGAAUUCCGAGUGUAGAGGUGAAAUUCGUAGAUAUUGGGAAGAACACCGGUGGCGAAGGCGACCACCUGGCUCGGCCCUGACGCUGAGGCGCGAAAGCGUGGGGAGCAAACAGGAUUAGAUACCCCUGUAGUCC